UACGUAGGGUGCGAGCGUUAAUCGGAAUUACUGGGCGUAAAGCGCGCGCAGGCGGUCCUUUAAGUCUGAUGUGAAAGCCCACGGCUCAACCGUGGAGGGUCAUUGGAAACUGGGGGACUUGAGUGCAGAAGAGGAGAGCGGAAUUCCACGUGUAGCGGUGAAAUGCGUAGAGACCCGGAGGAACACCAGUGGCGAAGGCGGCUUCCUGGUCUGCGACUGACGCUGUGGCGCGAAAGCUAGGGGAGCGAACGGG
rnacentral:rRNA from 1 species